AGCUACACUUACCUUAAAAAUUGUGUAGUAGAAUCUUUUAUUUAUGUGGCUUAUAAAUGAGGAAAGGUACAAAACAAAAAUGUGUAGAUGUCUUAUUCAGUGUGUGCAUGCCUGACUAGGUUUUGAUACCAAAACAGAAGGUUUUAUGUCUCAUGCUAACAUUUUAUUUUAUUGUACAAUCCCAGCAAACAUUUGGACGUUUAAUGACCGUUAAAAAAAGACAUCCCUCCAACACGUCCUGUCAUGGCCAAACUGGCCGGCUCCCUGAUCAGUUCCCUGACUAAUGAACUAGGGAGCUGAUUGUCUAUCAAAACGUUUUAAUAUCUUUUAGCCAGGAUCUAAUGAUUAUGUUAAAUUUGGUGAAGAUCCAGUGAAUGGUAAAGGAGUUUGUCAGUACAUUUUCAUUCAAAAUGAAAAUCUAGUCAGGCGAAAACUGAACAAUGGUACGCAUUCGACUCAAAACAAAAGAACAAACAUAUUUCUAGUUAUGCCAAGCUCUAAAAAAAAAUGUAUUGGGUAGUGAGGGGGGCCUUCAAAUAUUAUUGCGUACAAUGGGGGGACCAAAAAGGUUGAGAUCCACUGUUAAAGAGAUGAGACAAACACAUCAUUUUGGAUUUGCCAACUCUACUGCAUAAAGAGAUUACCCAUUCAAUAUGAAGUUUCGUACUUUGUUGACUAUGUACGUCGCUGUCUUGUACCGCUGACGCUGACUUGGCAGCACCUCAAAUCGCCACACAAAUGUUUAUGUAAGACGCCCUGAGCUAAUAGUAACAUGCUAAGCGUUUCAAUGAGUUAAGCGCAUAUAUUUCUUUUAUUUCAUUCACGUUUCGGGUAUUGGAUUAGAUCACACUCACUGACAGGAUGGAAGAGAAAAGGAUCAGAUGAUUUGUUCGUUCAAGCACACCGAGACUGAACUACAGCCACUGUGACAAAAACAAACAGCCACUGGUCUCUGAGACGCUCAUUAAAGUGUUUGAGAUGAGAGGACCGGCUGAGUGAAGAACUUCACAUCAGCUACAACCAGAAUUUCCCUCUAAAGUCCCAGAAGAUUGUUCAGUCAGUGUGGCAGAUCCCAGAAGUCCAGUCCAGAAAUGAUGUGUGCGAUACAAAUACAGUAAAACAUCAAGUAUCGUGCCUGUUGGUGGAAAAUGUGUGUAUGUGUUUUAACUGGAUAUGGGUUUUUAACAAUUAUUUGAUAUUGCUGGGGCAAAUUUCCAUCUGUGUGUCAGGUACCAUGUAACAGAUUUACUCAACUACAAUUUUUAGUGUACAAAUGUUUUAAAAUGAUGAUAAAUAGAUUUGAACUUGGCUCAAUGUAAUGAUUGCUAAAUAGUAAUAUCUAGCAAAUGGCAUAUUUAGGGCAAAGAAUCACAAAAAUAUAUUCAAUAUAAAAAAUUACCUGAUUUUUGAGUGUUUUUGGCCAAAACAGGUCUGACCUUUUUGAUCCUAAAGCAUUAAAAUAAACAUCUUUGCAUAAUGUUGAAUUCCUGCACUGGUUGUACUCAUUAAAUAUAGAGUUUUGCUUGAUCUUC